UACGAGGGGGCAAAUGUUGUUCGGAAUCACUGGGCGUAAAGGGAGCGUAGGCGGGUUUCUAAGUCAGGUGUUUAAUCCCGGGGCCCAACCCCGGACAGGCACUUGAACUGGGAAUCUUGAAUAGUGGAGAGGUCAGUGGAAUUGGGGUGUAGCGGUGGAAUGCGUAGAGAUCCCCAAGAACACCAGUUGCGAAGGCGGCUGACUGGACACAUAUUGACGCUGAGGCUCGAAAGCAUGGGGAGCAAACAGG
rnacentral:rRNA from 1 species